GAUGAACGCUGGCGGCGUGCCUAAUACAUGCAAGUAGAACGCUGAAGGAGGAGCUUGCUCUUCUGGAUGAGUUGUGAACGGGUGAGUAACGCGUAGGUAACCUGCCUGGUAGCGGGGGAUAACUAUUGGAAACGAUAGCUAAUACCGCAUGACAACAGUUAUUGCAUGAUAACUGUUUAAAAGGGGCAACUGCUCCACUACCAGAUGGACCUGCGUUGUAUUAGCUAGUUGGUGAGGUAACGGCUCACCAAGGCGACGAUACAUAGCCGACCUGAGAGGGGGAUCGGCCACACUGGGACUGAGACACGGCCCAGACUCCUACGGGAGGCAGCAGGAGGGAAUCUUCGGCAAUGGACGGAAGUCUGACCGAGCAACGCCGCGUGAGUGAAGAAGGUUUUCGGAUCGUAAAGCUCUGUUGUAAGGGAAGAACGAGUGUGAGAGUGGAAAGUUCACACUGUGACGGUAUCUUACCAGAAAGGGACGGCUAACUACGUG
rnacentral:rRNA from 1 species